GCGCGUUUAGCUCAGGGGUAGAGCAUUGCAUUCACAUUGCAAGGGCCGUUGGUUCAAAUCCAACAACGCGCA
rnacentral:tRNA from 1 species